CUCAACCGGGCGGAAGUGACACGCAUCGAGGGCGCCCCGCUUCCGGAAGUAAGUGCGGUCUAGCAGCUCUUGGGCACCCGGCGGCCGCUUUGUAGAGGCCUCGCUGACGUCAGAGGAAACGUCCCAGAUUUUUUUCCCGUUUGUUAACCAUUGCUACUGCGACCUGUUUUUCUUUCUUUCUUUUUUUUUUUUACUGUGAAUAGUGAAAAUUGCUCAGUCGUGUUCGACCCUUUGUGACCCCAUGAACUAUACAGUCCAUGGAAUUCUCCAGGCCAAAAUACUGGAGUGGAUAGCCGUUCCCUUCUCCAGGACAUCGAACCAGAGUCUCCCGCACUGCAGGCGGAUUCUUUACCAGCUGAGCCACCAGGGAAGCCCUUAAGCGUCCCCCCUCCUUUUUUUUUUAACUGAGUACCUUUUGUUUACAGUGCCUAUUGUUCUGUUACCUAUUAUUGGUUCUGCUCAGACUGGCGAUUGGCUAAUGGCGCCGUCAAUCUCCAGGGGAAAGGACUAAGUUUCAGACACCUCGGAAAAAUUACUGUGAGCCCCUUUUUGCUGAAAUGAAAAGUUCUGGAGAAAACCCAAGAGAUUCGGCAGCAUGGUGGGGACGCAGAGGCUGGAUUCUGCUACAGUCAGGACUUACUCCUGUUGAGCUUCGGGAAGAAAUGCUUUUUGUCUGCAGCAUGAAGCGAUUUAAAAGUACUGGGUGUUCAAUGUGAGCUUCUAAUGAAAUUUGGGCUGAAAGGAUGACUAGAAGAUGACUAUUAAAAUCUCUCCUGUAACCUAGUCUCUGGACCCGGAUCCCUCCUCUCCAGUGAGACUCUUUGAGGACCAAUCGCGAUGCCCUGCACCCACUGCGGAGCCAUUGAGUUGGACAGUGAGGGCGCCACAUCCCUGACAGACAGCAUAGUGCAGCUCUGACAAAGGCCUUAUUUUUCUGAUGUAAAUCAUCUUUUUACAUCUGUUUGUAAACAUGUUUAAAGAAUGGACCUAGGCAUACAUUUUUAGAUUUUGAUGACAUAGCCAUUUUGGAUAGUAUAAGCAGCAAAUGUAACUUUUACUUUUUCAGCAGCACAUUAAAAAAGCCAGCAAGAGAUGCGUUCAGAUCAUGGUGCCUUAUUAUGCAGCUGAUAUCUUGGUAGACAGAGACGGCAUGUCUCUUUACAUGUGCGUUCUGCCUUUAAUUUCCUUGUACAAUUCAUUGUUAUCAUUCUGUUUUUCUAUUAAUCUUUUGUGAACUUCCUGAAUAUGUGACAAAGUAUGUACAGUCUACUUUUGAACUAUUUUUAUUACAGUAUUAUUUACUGCUUUCUUUCAAUAAAGUACUGAAGCAAAAUUUCCCAC
ensembl:lncRNA